GGACGAACGCUGGCGGCGUGCUUAACACAUGCAAGUCGAGCGAUGAAGCUUCUCGGAAGUGGAUUAGCGGCGGACGGGUGAGUAACACGUGGGUAACCUGCCUCAUAGAGGGGAAUAGCCUUUCGAAAGGAAGAUUAAUACCGCAUAAGAUUGUAAUGUCGCAUGACAUGGCAAUUAAAGGAGUAAUCCGCUAUGAGAUGGACCCGCGUCGCAUUAGCUAGUUGGUGAGGUAACGGCUCACCAAGGCGACGAUGCGUAGCCGACCUGAGAGGGUGAUCGGCCACAUUGGGACUGAGACACGGCCCAGACUCCUACGGGAGGCAGCAGUGGGGAAUAUUGCACAAUGGGGGAAACCCUGAUGCAAGCAACGCCGCGUGAGUGAUGACGGUCUUCGGAUUGUAAAGCUCUGUCUUUAGGGACGAUAAUGACGGUACCUAAGGAGGAAGCCACGGCUAACUACGUGCCAGCCGCUGC
rnacentral:rRNA from 1 species